GCAGCCACAAGAAACGAGAACAAUAGUCUAUGCAUUUCAAGAAAAGACAUGCAGUGCAGUCGUUUCCAUGGUGACCGCACUGCACGGCAAGUGGGCAGAGACUACCAGACGAGUCCUGAGAAAUGAAUGUCUCCACGAUAAAUUCCUAUGACUGAAAACUGCUUCUGGACAUCAGAACAGCGAUCACCAACCUCGAUUUGGAUGACAAUUUCUACUUCAACGAGUUGGCAGCUCUGGACUUUCUGCUUAAUCCGCAUUAAGGCCUUGGUCAUCUGGACUCGAAAGAAGAAGUGACAGCGCAAGAGGCAGACGAGACAAGCAGGCAACAUGACGAGACUAUAUUGGUGAGCAAAUAAACCGCCUCUACCCUCCGUUUUAUUGGUGAAUGUACACUGGAGAGCAAACUGGACGAGCUCUGUUCGAGACUAUCCUAUCAACGGACCUGAAGAACUGUAAUAUUGGGUUUUCCAUGCCCUGAUCAAGACUGGACAGCAGCCUCUGAGCUGUUUACCAAUACAAACCGAUGCUGGCACAUAAGCAAACAAGAAAAUGCACAUCCAGAAGUGACGCUUCUCAUGGCCGGUGAUUUCAAUGCAGGGAAACUGAAGUCUGUUUUACUUCAUUUUUACCAGCAUGUCAACUGUACAACUAGAGGCGACAAAACUCUAGAUCACCUUUACUUCACACAGAGAAAUGCAUAUAAAGCUCUCCCUCACCCUCCCUUUGGCAAAUCUAACUCUAUCCUUCUGAUUCCUUUUUACAAGCACAAACUCAACCAGGCAGUACCAGUGACAUGUUGAAUACAGAAGUAGUCAGAUGAAGCAGAUGCUAAACUACAGGACUGUUUCCCAAUACUUAUUUUCCACCAUAAUUUGCAAAUAAAUUCAUAAAAA